rnacentral:rRNA from 1 species
UGGGGAAUAUUGCACAAUGGGCGCAAGCCUGAUGCAGCCAUGCCGCGUGUAUGAAGAAGGCCUUCGGGUUGUAAAGUACUUUCAGCGAGGAGGAAGGCGGUAAGGUUAAUAACCAUAUCGAUUGACGUUACUCGCAGAAGAAGCACCGGCUAACUCCGUGCCAGCAGCCGCGGUAAUACGGAGGGUGCAAGCGUUAAUCGGAAUUACUGGGCGUAAAGCGCACGCAGGCGGUCUGUCAAGUCGGAUGUGAAAUCCCCGGGCUCAACCUGGGAACUGCAUUCGAAACUGGCAGGCUAGAGUCUUGUAGAGGGGGGUAGAAUUCCAGGUGUAGCGGUGAAAUGCGUAGAGAUCUGGAGGAAUACCGGUGGCGAAGGCGGCCCCCUGGACAAAGACUGACGCUCAGGUGCGAAAGCGUGGGGAGCAAACA